rnacentral:rRNA from 1 species
CACGUAGGCACCAAGCGUUGUCCGGAUUUAUUGGGGCGUAAAGAGCUCGUAGGCGGUUCAGUAAGUCGGGUGUGAAAACUUUGGGCUUAACCCAAAGCGUGCAUCCGAUACUGCUGUGACUUGAGUUCGGUAGGGGAGUGGGGAAUUCCCGGUGUAGUGGUGAAAUGCGUAGAUAUCGGGAGGAACACCAGUGGCGAAGGCGACUACCUGGCCUGUUUCUUGACGCUGAGGCGCGAAAGCUAGGGGAGCAAACGGG